CUUCAAGAUUUACCGCAUCCAAAUGUUAGAUCUUCCUUCGCUUCUGCUGGGACAUUAGAUCGUCGGCCAUGUUUAGAACGCCAUUGCAGGCGAACCUGCUGAUGAUGAGGAUUCUGGAAGCUGGAGGCAGUGGGGUCUCCCUCAUGCCUCUUCGGGCCAGUAAUUGCAGGGACAGUGACAGCACACCGUUGGAAGGGGAUGAUAUGAUCAGUAGGACGCCCUGUCGCAUCCGAGACACCGGUCAGCCGACGCGAUCCUUCCCCUCGGUUGGGACAGCGCGCCCCAUGGAUGGAGAUCAGGACGAAGGGAAGAGAGGAAGGAUGCCUUCGUCUGCAACGCGAAAGCCUGACUUCGUUUUCAUCUUUCGAACCACGACGACAUCACCCAACUUCUGAUGACGACUGAGAUUUCAAGCUCUAUACGUAGCGGCUCAGUGGAUUAGCAGAUGUGCUCUUCCAAGGGAAGUAAUUUUACUGAUCAUUUCUUCGUUAUGGUGCAGCAGAUUGCAGGAAGAAUACGAGCUGCAAGAGUGUGGUUCACCACCUCAUCCAUGGAGCAGAACACCAGAAGCUAUCGUAGCUGUUGCACACUUACUGAUGAGGAUUUCAAGCUAUAGUCGCUGGUGAUAACGAAUCGAUCAAAGUGUCCUUCAGAACAUAUGUAGCUCGCUUUCUCCCUUUCAAGUUGAUGUCCGUAUGAUGUACUUCGAGAUAAUUGCCGAAAUCCAACACCUAAAGGAAGCCAUUGUCGAUCCAUCAAAUCCUUCGUUCACUUGGGCUAGAAUAUGAAAUCUUCAUUGCUCGUCCAGAAUCAAUUAAAUUCUUCGUUUAUCGUC